rnacentral:tRNA from 1 species
AUUUUUCUAGUAUAUUAGUACAUUUGACUUCCAAUCAAAAAGAUUGAUUUUUCAAGAAAAACA